AUGAUUUUUCUGCACACCACAAUCCUAAGUUGAUCAUUUAAGCAAUCAAAGAUAGCUAAAUUGCAUCAGUCCUAUUGUUAAAUUAGAGUUUCAACCCAAAAAAUGAUUUACUUCAUAAACCUGGGGUCUUGGUACUGAAGUGCAUGCUUGGUUCUGGGUUGGGGAAUCUUAAGACCAUGGUUUUGAAGGUUGCCAAUUAAGUAUUUGUGCCUACACAAGUUGAUGGUAAAAUCUGUGAUUGAAAUUUUCAACUAUCUUGGGUGAGUUUAAGAUAUGGACUUCCUGACACUUUUUUCUCAGAUGAAAAUAUGACUCCCAGCAGUAACAACUGAAAUUUGUAAAAUAGAAAUGAGCUAAGUCUGGUAUUACUUUUUUCAUUUUUUUGAUUAAUUAAAAAGUGGAAUAUGGGAUGCAUAGUUUGUGCCUUAUGUCCUAUUAAUGAUUAUCCAUUGUCUGGUUAUUAUAAGUCAGUUUAGGUCAGGAGUUGUUUAAUCACUCUUGAAAUGUAUCAACUGUUCCGUGGUUUGUUUCUCUUUCUAAAUAAACCUACUGCAGGAAGAUUUUGUCCAGUAAUAUGUGGAAAUCAGCUUACUUUUGGCUAUUGAUGUGCGAUUUAAUCUUAGAAAAGCAUCUUCAUAGACAUUGUGUUCUUCUAGUUAUCCAAAUAAAGAAUCCUUCAUAGAUUGUUUUGUCCCAAUAGGUAUUUGACAUCGUCAUAUUAUAUCUCAGUUGUGUUUUUGAGCUUUCAAUUUCAAGUACAAGCUUUGUGUAGUUUGCUAUUUAAUGUUGCUUUCUGUUAUCAUUACUAGAUAUCUACUAACAAGCAGAAAUACUGCUUUAGGUCUGAA